rnacentral:rRNA from 1 species
AAAGCGUGCGCAGGCGGUUUUGUAAGACUGUCGUGAAAUCCCCGGGCUCAACCUGGGAAUGGCGAUGGUGACUGCAAGGCUAGAGUUUAGCAGAGGGGGGUAGAAUUCCACGUGUAGCAGUGAAAUGCGUAGAUAUGUGGAGGAACACCGAUGGCGAAGGCAGCCCCCUGGGUCAAAACUGACGCUCAUGCACGAAAGCGUGGGGAGCAAACAGGAUUAGAUACCCUAGU